GGAGCCAACGGCAAGCCUCCAGUCUGCCGAAGUUCCUCUGGCAAGCUCGCUACACCCCUGCAUAAGAGGCUAUUUGGUUUUCAUACAAAACAGGAGGAAUGCGGGGGCGUCAAGCCUUUUGCACAACAUCUGCUAAAUAUGGAUUCACUUUUCUGAAAUGAUUUUGUGAAGGGCAAAAGCAUAGCUAGAUAAUAAUCAUAGUCAAUCUCGCUGUAGCAGUAGAUCAGCCACCAGAUGGCAGUACCAGAGUGCUCUCACUUAACUAAUUUAAAGCACAAUAAACUUGUUAUCUUGCCAAGAAAAAUGUUAUUGCAUUAUCCUUUCCACAAAGAUUAGUUUUACGAAUGCCUCAGGAAUUUUUCAAAGUUCGUGUACCUCUAUGUAGUGCACCAGCCAUGCUGUGUAUUUUCCUUUUUAAAAGAACACUGUGAUUCCUAUUUAGUGUAUUGCAGAGGGGUUCUGUGUUUUUGUUUUUGUUGUUGUUGUUGUUAUAGGACCAAUUCCAGAAGGCACUAAGAGCCCUUUUAGAAAGGUACACCUUCUCUUCCAUAUUGCAUAAAUUGGACUGAAGCUAUGGAAGGAUCCAGACCCAGAUAGAAAAUAUGCAUGUCAUACUUUGUCUAUGCCGUGUGUUUUAAUCCUUUGGAAAGGAGUCUGAAUCUCCCCAAGAAUGGCUUUCCUCUCCUGCAAAACCAAUUAAGUGAAGAGUUGCUCUUCAGACUUUCCCUCUGUGGAGCCCCGAAGAAGGACAUGGGAAACUCCAACAUGGAAUGCUGGCCAUGGUGGCCACUUUGCAGAAUCUCUGCACACAGAUGUAUGGAUUUCGAUAUGAUGCUGAGAUAAGAAAAUAUCUUCAAAAAGAAGCAUAUGGGACUCUGAGAAGAAACAUACUUGGCAUUGGCUCUUUCUAGGCAGCAGAAACCGGUGAACUACUGCCAAAGACCUCCCACUUGACAAUGGUGCUCACUAGCAACAAUAGGAGAGGAGCAGGAAGGGAAGGCAUGUUGCCCCAGGAACUGGGGUUGGUCAGGGCCAGUUGCUCCCCACCUACUAAAUAUAUGAGAAUCUCCAUUUUAAAAGGUUCCCCUUUUGCUCAGUUAGCAGGGGAGCUUUUACAAAUUAUCCAACAAUAGUACCAUGGAUGAAGACUCAUUUUGCCUAGUUUAAGAGAAAUGGAAUUAAGUUAACAACCGUUGUUUCCGUGGCAUCCCCCCCCCCCACCAUUUAUUUCCCCCCUGGAGUGGGGUUCAACCAACUACUUUUAUGUUAUAUAUACUGCUCAGUAUGAGAUGACACCUUCCAGCAAUUUCCUGUAUCGCUGCUGCCUGAUAUAGCUGUUUCCCAUAGUCUGGGAAACAUACCAGCGGGGAUUGGAACCGCAACCUCUGGCUUGCUAGUCAAGUCAUCUCCCCACUGGAGGACUAAGUUUCAAUUAGAGUAACUGCUUGGAGUGUUUGCCUCUCCAAAUAAGGAAGAAAGCCUGGGAGAAUCAAAUCCCUGUGGCCCAAUCCAGAGUGAGGGGCAGGAUUUACUGGACAAACAUCCUAUAGAGAGGUAGGGGAAGAUAGUGUGUGUUAGAAUUCAAUUCUUCCCUGGAGGCCUCUCAGGGAAGUGCGAUCAACAACUAGUGUAGGACAAACUGAGUCUCACAGCCUUGGGCUGGGAAUCAACUGGGAGUUCCUUACCUGGAAGGAAGUAGGAAGACUAGGGACCAGUUUAGCUAGAUCUAUCAAGGUAUUUAUAUUUGUUUAAGUGCUUGGAUCUGACUGACUGCAUGGUUCUUAUAGUUCAUGGGGAAGGGUUUUACUUGAAUGGAAGCAGUGAUUGUUGAUACCUCUAUAGUUUUCCUGAUCAUCCAGUUAUUAAUAAAUCCUUCUUCUUCUUGUUGAA